rnacentral:rRNA from 1 species
UUUAUCAAAAACAUGGCUCCUUGUGGUUCUGUAGAUAAGGAGUCGGACCUGCCCGGUGAAUUUAUUUAACGGCCGCGGUACCCUGACUGUGCGAAGGUAGCAUAAUAAUUUGCCUUAUAAUUGGAGGCUUGUAUGAAUGGUUUGACUUGAACAAAUCUGUCUCUUUAUGUUUUUAUAGAAUUUUAUUUUUAGGUGAAGAAGCCUAAAUGUAAUUAAUAGACAAGAAGACCCUAUCGAGCUUUAAGGAAAUUAGUAGAGUCUUUAAUAUAUAUAAAAAAUUUAACUAUUAAAAAUUUUGGUUGGGGCGACCCAGGAACAAAAAAAGCUUCCUGGAUUUAAAGUACUAACAUGUGUUGAUCCAAAUUUUUUUGAUUUAAGGAAUUAGUUACCGUAGGGAUAACAGCAUUAUCUUCUUUGAGAGUUCUUAUCGAAAAGAGGGUUUGUGACCUCGAUGUUGGACCAGAAUGUCCUAAAGAUGCAGAAGUCUUUAAGGGUUGGUCUGUUCGACCAUUAAAAUUCUACGUGAUCUGAGUUCAGACCGGCGUGAGCCAGGUCAGUUUCUAUCUUUAAUUUUUUUGUGCAAACAUAGUACGAAAGGACCAGUUUGUAGUAUUAAAUGCUAUAGGUGAAGUAAUAUAAUUAAUGAUUGCUGGAUUAGCAGAUAUUAAUGCAAUUGAUUUAGGAUCAGUAGAUAUAGGUGAAGGUCCUUUAUUCAGUAUAAUAGUAAAGAUGGCAGAUUUAGUGCAUUAGGUUU